GAAAUGAUAAUGACUAAAACAAUAUACAUUCGUUUGAAUGUAUGAAAAACAGGACGGUGAAAUCCUAUUGAAUUUUAAAAGUAGUUAAAACAUAAACUAAAUUAUGUAUAAAUGAAAUAUAUAGUAAACGCCUUUAAUUCAAAUCACUUUUGCUUCGAUGAUAAUGUAAUAUACUCAAUGCCCCCAAAACUAUAAAAAAGAAAAAGAAAAACAAACAAAAAAAAGUAAGAGAAACAAAAAGAAUACAUAACCGUUGUUUAGUUGAUAGCGAUAAAAAUAACAGAAACGAUAUCGAUAUAUAGUCGUUAUCGUAACUAAAACAUAACUGCGAUUGGUGCGACAGAGACAGAGUCAGAAAACAGUUAUAAUGGAGAGGUUGCUGAAUCAUGUCGAACCGUCGAAAUACGUUGCUGAAGAAUCUUUUUUUGGACUUAAAUGAAACAUAAUUACAUAAACAUGCAUCCCUAUAUAUACACGAAUCUCUAUGGAAACUGGAUAUGAUCUAGCAUACAUUUUUAACACUCUCGAACUUUUUCUGUCGGCGAUAAAUGAUAUAUUUAGAUAUAUACUUCCAAAGAAAUUAAAAUUAAACUUUCCCAAAUGUGGACUACAAAAUCAACGUUGGUUUUUGAACUGAUUGAAGAAAUGAGAAUGAUGAACCAAACCCAAGAUCUCAUGAUCGUUUUGUUUUUUAAAAGUCUCCUUUAACAACUGUAACAUUUUGUUUCUUUUCUAUACAAAUGAUAAAUACAUACACACAACAAACUGAGAACAUUCUAAGCUAUUUGAGAUACUUACUGAACAUACUGAUUGAAGCUUCUAAAAUACAUAUGUACUUUCGGUGUUAAAAUAUAUGGUACACCACCCGUAUCAUCAUCUACAACAACAACAGCACAACAAGAAAACAAGUACAACAACAACAUCUACAGAAGUUAUCUUAUAUGUACAAUACUAAAUGAAACAAC